rnacentral:rRNA from 1 species
ACUUUUCCCCUCAGGGGAGAAAAGUUGUAACAAAGUAGGUGUAUUGGAAAAUGCACCUGGAUCAAUACAUAA